GAUGAACGCUGGCGGCGUGCCUAAUACAUGCAAGUCGAGCGAACGUAUGCGAACCUUGCUUUUCUGAUGUUAGCUACGGCCUGAUUAGUAACACCUGGAUAACCUACCUAUACUACUGGGAUAACUCCGGUAAACCGUAGCUAAUCCCGUCUAAUAUUUUGAACCGCAUCUUUCAAAAGUGAAAGACGGUCUUCCUUUCACUAAUUGAUGGAUCCGCUCUUCAUUAGCUAGUUGGUAAAGUAACGGCUUACCAAGGCAACGAUGCAUAGCCGACCUGAGAGAGUGAUCGGAGAGACUGGAAGUGAGCAAGGGUACAGACUCCAAAGGGAGGCAGCAGUAGGGGAUAGUCGGCAAUGGGCGAAAGCAAGAGGGAGCAAUGCCGCGUGGGUGAUGAAGGUCAUCGGAUAGGAAAACUCUGUUAUUAGGGAAGAACAUAUGUGUAAGUAACUGUGCACAUCGAGGAGGUAACUAAUGAGAAAGCCACGGCUAACUACGUG
rnacentral:rRNA from 1 species